CAACUAUGAAUUGUAGUUGUUACCCUUGGUGGACAUCGUCUUUUGGAGCUCCAAGCUGUGGUGCAUGCGUUUGAUGUAUACGUCCGCCUCCAUGUUCACAUCUUCCUCCUUAUAUGUAACAGUUUGAUGGCUGUUCUUUGUAUAGCUCGGCUUCUCCGGCUUUUGAUCAUCCCCCAUGGACAUCUCCUUGUACACAAACAAGUCAUGCAAGUUAGGGAAGUGAGGCCUUGAUCCGUACGCGUUCAUCUCCAUCUCAGAGGUAUCUCCGGCUGUGUGAUAGGAGUAGUUGUCUUCCACAAACCUGACAUGGUUCUGG
rnacentral:misc_RNA from 1 species